rnacentral:rRNA from 1 species
UCCUGGUGAAAACAGGCUCCCGCAAGGGCAUCUGUCGAGGUGCUGCAUGGCUGUCGUCAGCCCGUGUCGUGAGAUGUUGGGUUAAGUCCCGCAACGAGCGCAACCCUUGUCUUCUGUUGCCAUCGGGUCAAGCCGGGCACCCUGAAGAGACUGCCGGUGACAAACCGGAGGAAGGUGGGGAUGACGUCAAGUCAGCAUGGCCUUUAUGUCUGGGGCCACACACGUGCUACAAUGGCCGGUACAAACCGUCGCGAGCCCGCAAGGGGGAGCUAAUCGGAGAAAGCCGGUCUCAGUUCGGAUUGUAGGCUGCAACUCGCCUGCAUGAAGUUGGAAUCGCUAGUAAUCGCGGAUCAGCACGCCGCGGUGAAUACGUUCCCGGGCCUUGUACACACCGCCCGUCACAUCACGAAAGCUGGCUGUACUAGAAGUAGCUGAGCUAACCCGCAAGGGAGGCAGGUUCCUAAGGUAUGGUCAGUGAUUGGGGCGAAGUCGUAACAAGGUAACCGU